UUGGGAGUUAGCUCAGUUGGUAGAGCAGUUGAUUUUUAAUCUUCGUGUCACAGGUUCGAAUCCUGUACUCCUAAU
rnacentral:tRNA from 1 species